GGAAGGGUGGCAGAGCGGUCCAAUGCAACGGUUUGCUAAACCGUAGCCGUGUAAAAAGCGGCUCCAGGGUUCGAAUCCCUGCCCUUCCGCCA
rnacentral:tRNA from 1 species